rnacentral:rRNA from 1 species
GUACCAGCGCCGCGGUAAUACCGGCAGCCCGAGUGAUGGCCGAUCUUAUUGGGCCUAAAGCGUCCGUAGCUGGCUGCGCAAGUCCGUCGGGAAAUCCACUCGCCCAACGAGUGGGCGUCCGACGGAAACUGCACAGCUUGGGACCGGAAGGCUCGAAGGGUACGUUCGGGGUAGGAGUGAAAUCCUAUAAUCCCGCACGGACCACCGAUGGCGAAAGCACUUCGAGAAAACGGAUCCGACAGUGAGGGACGAAAGCUAAGAUCGCGAACCGGAUUAGAAACCCCUUGUAGUCC